UCUGAGGUGAAAUUAAGGAUGGAAAUCAUAUGAAAGAGGAAAAGGUCAGAGAAAAGAAGCAAAAGUAGGGAAAUAAAAGGCAAAAGAAAAUCAUAGAAAGAGGCAGAACAAAGGCCAUCUUCACUUUGCACUUAACUCAGCUUCCUUUGCAACUCUGUCAGUGGAAGACAAGUUGCGGUAGACAGGGUACAAGGACAGCAUGGAAGAAAGAAAAAAAUGCAUCCCAUUUUUUGUUAUUUUCUCAACAGUCUCUGGAAGAAAAGAAAAAGAAGUGUAGCUCUCUGUAUACGACUAAAUGGCUGCAUAAUCAUCUGUGAAAAUUGGAGAAUAGAAUCCAUGAAACUGCAAAUGGUUCUACAAAUGGAGCCCCAAAUGAUCACCACUAGCACCUACUAUUGAGGACCCCUAGACUGACCUACCAACCUGUUCUAACACUACGACACUGAAGACUCCCCUCCUGAGGAACCCUCAACUGCAGAUCCCCUUCUAUGCCCCAGUUCAGCAGGAAGUAGCUAGAAUGAUCAUUGCCCAACUUCUCAACAGCACUUGGGCUUUCCUGUUGAGAGUGGGUACUGAGGCACUAAGUGGCUAAGUUGGCUAGACUUCCUGGGUCAACAGGGACUUCCCUAAGGGGACAUUCCCCUAAGCCAAAAUGAGUCAUAGCUGCAAGCUAAGGGAUUGAAACUUCAACCAAUCAAAGGGGACUUUCUCCUAAGCAAAAAUGAGUCACCGCUGCAAACUAAGUGAUUGAAACUUCACCCAAUCAUAUAGGGAGUUUAAGCUUUAGCUGCAGCCUGAUGUUUUUAACCAAUCAGGCCUGCCAACCCACAAGCGGAUAGAAAAUAAGCUAAUCCUAUGGGACAGAAAAAGGAAAAGGGGAGGAGUCAUAAGGGGAUAUAAGCAUAAGACACCCAAGCCAGAAACGGAAACCCUUCCGGGUCUCCUUCCACCACGUGGAAGCUUUACUUUUGCUUUUACUUUACUUUCACUUUAAUAAACCUUGGCGCCGCACACUCUUUGGGUCUGUACGUUUCUCUAAUUGAGCUGUAACACUCGCUGCUGUGGUCCACGGCUUCAUUCCUUGAAGCCUGUGAGACCACGAACCCUUCAAUUGAGAAAAACCUUCAAUCAGAAGAAGACUUCUUGUCUCAAUAUCACUUCCUUUGAAAACAUAAUUCAAGAGUUAUUCACAUCAUAGUUAUUUUUCACUACCUAACAGGUAAAAAAUA